rnacentral:miRNA from 1 species
AACGUCCAGAUGAACAAUCAAC